rnacentral:lncRNA from 1 species
CUGCCUUCAUAAAUGGGAUAAUGUAAAGGAGAUUAAAAGGAGGCUGUUUGCUCCCUUCUACCAUGUGAGAAUGCAGCAAGAGGUACCAUCUCUGUGCAAUGAGCCCUUACCAGACAUUGAACCUGCUGGCACUUUAUCUUGGACUUCCCAGCCUCCAGAACUUAGAGAUGAUGUCUUGCCACAUUGCCCAGGCUGGUCUCAAACUCCAGGCCUAAAGGGAUCUUCUGACUUUGGCCUCCCAAAGUGCUGAGAUUAUAGAUGGGAAACACUCAGACAUCAACAGGCUCACCCUUGAAAUGCAUCCUAAGCCAUUGGGACCAAUUUGAUCUGCAAACCCUGAAAAAGAGGAUCGAGGCUAUCAAGCUACAGAUGAUCUUACAAAUGGAACCCCAAAUGAGCUCAACUAACAACUACCAAGGACCCCUGGACCAACCCGCUGGCCCUUUCAAUGGCCUAAAGAGUUCCCCUCUGGAGGACACUACAACUGCAGGGUCCUUUCUUUGCCCCUAUCCAGCAGGAAGUAGCUAGAGUGGUCAUCACCCAAUUCCCAACAGCAGUUGGGGUGUCUUGUUAAGUGGGGAGAUUGAGAGGUGAAGCCAGCUGGGCUUCUGGGUUGGGUGGGGACUUGGAGAACUUUUCUGUCUAGCUAGAGGAUUGUAAACACACCAAUCAGUGCUAUGUGUCUAGCUAGAGGUUUGUAAAUGCACCAAUCAGCACUCUGUAAAAACGGACCAAUCAGCACUCUGUAAAAUGGACCAAUCAGUAGGAUGCGGGCAGGGCCAAAUAAGGGAAUAAAAGCUGGCCACCUGAGUCAGCAGUGGCAACCCACUCGGGUCCCCUUCCAUGCUGUGGAAGCUUUGUUCUUUCACUCUUCACAAUAAAUCUUGCUGCUGCUCACUCUUUGGGUCCACACCACCUUUAUGAGCUGCAACACUCACUGCGAAGGUCUUCAGCUUCACUCCUGAAGUCAGCGAGACCACGAACCCAUGGGGAGGAACAAUCGACUUCAGACAUGCCACCUUUAAGAGCUGUAACACUCACUGCGAAGGUCUGUGGCUUCACUCCUGAAGUCAGCAAGACCACGAACCCACUGGAAGGAAGAAAUUUCGGACACAUCUGAACAUCUGAAUGAACAAACUCUGGACACGCCAUCUUUAAGAACUGUAACACUCACUGUGAGGGUUCAUGGGUUCAUUCUUGAAGUCAGCAAGACCAAGAACCCACCAGAAGGAACCAAUUCCGGACACAGACUCACUGCAACCUCCACCUCCUGGAUUCAAGUGAUUCUCCUGCCUCAGCCUCCGGAGUAGCUGUGCCUACAGGCACAAGCCACCACACACGGCUAAUUUUUUGUAUUUUUAGUAGAGAUGGGGUUUCACCAUGUUGCUCAGGCUGGUCUCCAACUCCUGAGCUCAAGUGAUCCACCUGUCUCGGCCUCCCAAAGUGUUGGGAUACAUGUGUGAGCCACUGUGCCCGGCCUCCUCUGGAUUAGUUCUUACAGGAAUAGAUUAGUUCUUGCUCGAGCAAGUUGUUAUAAAAGUGAGGUUGCCUCUAGUGUUUUGCAUCCUCACAUAUGUCUGCUUACCUCUUGACCUCUCUCUGUGUUAUGACCCAGCACAAAAGCCCUUACCAGAAGCCAAGCAGAUGCUGAUGCCACACCCCUUGGACUUCUCAGUCUACAGAGCCAUGAAAC